rnacentral:rRNA from 1 species
GAUGAACGCUAGCGGCAGGCCUAACACAUGCAGGUCGAGGGGCAGCACAGAAACAGCAAUGUUUUGGUGGCGACCGGCGGACGGGUGCGUAACGCGUAUGCAACCUACCUUUAACAGGGGGAUAACGGAGAGAAAUUUCCACUAAUACCCCAUAACAUCGAUCAAGGCAUCUUGAUUGGUUGAAAACUCCGGUGGUUAAAGAUGGGCAUGCGUUGUAUUAGGUAGUUGGUGAGGUAAUGGCUCACCAAGCCUACGAUACAUAGGGGGACUGAGAGGUUAGCCCGCCACACGGGUAAGGAGACACGGACCAGACGCCUACGGGAGGCAGCAGUGAGGAAUAUUGGUCAAUGGGGGCAACCCUGAACCAGCCAUGCCGCGUGCAGGAAGACGGCUCUAUGAGUUGUAAACUGCUUUUAAACAGGGAUAAAGCACAGUAUGUAUACUGUGUUGAAGGUACUGUAAGAAUAAGGAUCGGCUAACUCCGUGCCAGCCGCCGCCGUAA